ACGCUCGACACCUACGGGAGGCAGCAGUAGGGAUCUUCCACAAUGGGCGCAAGCCUGAUGGAGCAACACCGCGUGAGUGAAGAAGGGUUUCGGCUCGUAAAGCUCUGUUGUUGGAGAAGAACGUGCGUGAGAGUAACUGUUCACGCAGUGACGGUAUCCAACCAGAAAGUCACGGCUAACUACGUGCCAACAGCCGCGGUAAUCUGAGCGGGCUGGCAAGGC
rnacentral:rRNA from 1 species